GAGGAUGGAAACUGGAGUCCAUGUUGGCCUUACAAGUCUUCUCUGAAUAUUCCAGAAACUAAUAGUUAAGAUUCUUUCAAAAAGGGGUGAGAGGAGAGGAAAGGACAGAGCCGGCAUAGAAAACUUGUUAAUUAGUCUGUAAAAGAGCAAGCAAAAGACUUCACCAAAGUUACCACUUCAGGACAAGAAAUAUUUUUCUUAUAUAGGAGAGAUUGAUAAAUCAUGGUAAACAUUCUACGUUAUCAUUCCGUCUCAAGGAGGAGUAAAGCAGAGACAUUCAAAGAUGAACAGCAAUUCUGAAUGGAAAGAGGCCAGCUGUAAAACGUCAUAGAAGACCUGCAGUAGAGAUACAAUCCUGAGAAGAACAUUUAGCAAGAAUGGGGUUUCAGAUUUCUGGUAUUUCCAUAUGGGUGGAGAUUGAAGAAAAAAAAGAAAAGAGCAAAAGUUUUCUCAUAAUGUUUUGCAACUUCUGCUUCCGGGCCCAGUCAGAGCCCAAAAGCAGCAAGAGAAGUAAAAUGAAAACAUUGAACAUUUUUUUUGUUCUGUUUUCUUUUAAAUAAUAAUUGAUUUUUCACUCACAAAACUGAGUAUACUUAAUUCAGGAAUUCUAACUCAAAUUAAAGCAGGAAAUAUGUCAGCUAAUUAAAAAAAACAGCAACUUGAACAAUACUUGUCUCUCAGUAAAUAGUAAAGACCAUCACAAAAUAAAAGCAAACAGGUACUGAGGACCUGCAGGCACUGGCAAAUAAGCAGAGACCCAGUGAUAGCCUACAUGAGCUCACCAGUUGCCGCAAGAGAGCCCGGUAAAGAGAACUCCAAGAGAAUUAUUCAAAGGAUCAUCACAGCAGAAGAAUGCCUAU